ACACACAAAUAUAUAACAUAUAGAGCAUUGAGUUAGAUAAU
rnacentral:guide_RNA from 1 species